rnacentral:lncRNA from 1 species
GGACGGAAGGGUGGCCUGAAGACUGAGGAGGGGCAGGUCAGGUGCCCAGUCCAGAGAGGAGGAGUUGAAGAUGACAAGCCGCACCCCACCUCCCCCCAACUCACUUGGGACUGGAUCCACCCUGAGGAGCCUCGGGUCAACAUCCUGUUUCCGGCAAGCCCUCCUGGAGGCCACACAGAGGGGUGUUUGUUCGUAGUGGGCGACGGGAGAGAUGCUAAUCACGUUGGAUAGCUGGUCCCAGCUGAAGGUCAGGAGGAUCCAUCAUUUACCUACCAAGAUAACUACCUUACUUACCAUGCGGCUAGAGGGCUCGCUCGGUAGCUAAAAGUGAUUGCUACACAGGGGCAGCAAUCUGAAUUCAGUCCCCAGGAGCCAUGGAAAGCAGGAAGGAGAUGACCAGCUGCGUGGUUAGCUUCUGACUUCCCCACACGUGCUGUGACCCACACCCACACCAAUAAAUAUAUUUCUACUUU